AGAAAAAAAACUACUAGUGCAAAGCCUUCCCCUUCGUUAAAGAACUUUAGCCGAGAAAAAAAAAAUUACUAGUGCAAAGCCUUCCCUUUUUGUACGAAGCAAAGGUAAUCAAGAACUUUAGCCGUGAGGGAUCUGGAAGCGUGAGGCACACCGGAAGCCAUGAGGGAGCUUCUGGAAGCGUGAGGCACGCCGGAAGGAAGCCGUGAGGGAUCUGGAAGCGUGAGUCACGCCGGAAGGAAGCUGUGAGGGAUCUGGAAGCGUGAGGCACGCCGGAAGGAAGCCGUGAGGGAUCUGGAAGCGUGAGGCACGCCGGAAGGAAGCCGUGAGGGAUCUGGAAGCGUGAGGCACGCCGGAAGGAA
rnacentral:lncRNA from 1 species